CAAACUACCCUGAACACGCCCGAUCCCAUCUGAUCUCGGAAGCUAAGCAUGGUCAGGCCUGGUUAGUACUUGGAUGGGAGACCCUGCCUGUCUCAUACAGGCA
rnacentral:rRNA from 1 species